UGGGCGCAAGCCUGAUCCAGCCAUGCCGCGUGUGUGAAGAAGGCCCUCGGGUUGUAAAGCACUUUCAGCGAGGAAGAACGCCUGGCGGUUAAUACCCGCCAGGAAAGACAUCACUCGCAGAAGAAGCACCGGCUAACUCCGUGCCAGCAGCCGCGGUAAUACGGAGGGUGCAAGCGUUAAUCGGAAUUACUGGGCGUAAAGCGCGCGUAGGUGGCUUGAUAAGCCGGUUGUGAAAGCCCCGGGCUCAACCUGGGAACGGCAUCCGGAACUGUCAGGCUAGAGUGCAGGAGAGGAAGGUAGAAUUCCCGGUGUAGCGGUGAAAUGCGUAGAGAUCGGGAGGAAUACCAGUGGCGAAGGCGGCCUUCUGGACUGACACUGACACUGAGGUGCGAAAGCGUGGGUAGCAAACAGGAUUAGAUACCCUGGUAGUCCACGCCGUAAACGAUGUCGACCAGCCGUUGGGUGCCUAGCGCACUUUGUGGCGAAGUUAACGCGAUAAGUCGACCGCCUGGGGAGUACGGCCGCAAGGUUAAAACUCAAAAAGAAUUGACGGAUCC
rnacentral:rRNA from 1 species